rnacentral:rRNA from 1 species
AUUGAACGCUGGCGGCAUGCCUAACACAUGCAAGUCGAACGGUAACAGGGGCUUCGGCCCGCUGACGAGUGGCGGACGGGUGAGUAACGCGUAGGAAUCUUCCCAGUAGCGGGGGGAUAGCUCGGCGAAAGCCGGAUUAAUACCGCAUACGCCUACGGGGAAGGCAGGGAGUCGUAAGACCUUCGCACUAUUGGAUGAGCCUACGUCUGAUUAGCUAGUUGGUAGGGUAAAAGACCUACCAAGGCGACGAUCAGUAGCUGGUCUGAGAGGACGAUCAGCCACACUGGGACUGAGACACGGCCCAGAC